ACAAAUCGGCGUCAGUCCACUAUUGGUACCAAAAGCAAAAGGCAAAAACCCUCCAUCCUCUCUCCAACUUCUCCCCAAUUCUGGCGACGUCUCUUACUAUUCCAAAUCACGGGAAUCCACGACCCCAGUGCACUCGUCACCUCCAACCAUCUCGACACCUCAGGCCAUCUGGUAACAUACACCGUUGAGUAUCGACAAAUUCAUCGCCGUCUCCUGCCUCCAGCCACCGCGAACUCGUCGGCUGACUAUCUUCAGAUCUCCAAUAUCAAUUCCACCAAAUUUCAAAAGAUUAGCUUGACAAAUGCUAGGAAAGAAUUCUGGAGUAUGUCACAGCUGCAGGAGUAAGAUCCACUUCUUUGCCGAAUGCUCGAUAAAAAUCCGAUGCCCAACAUGUAAGCAAGUUUUUCAAAAGUGCUUUGAGGUAGAAAGGGCUACAGCCAACAAAGGUAAAUUCUUCAAAGGGCUUCACAAUUGGUUCUAAUCGAAUCAGUUAACGAUAUGCCCCGCAUAUUUUAGUCGCAAGUUCGGCUUAACCAUGAACAAGAAACCCACAUUUCUAUGAACGUAACGAUCCGUACUGGAAAAUCAAGCACCGAAUGGAGCACCAAAGGCAAGGGGUGGCUUGAGUAGCGGUGGAUUUUUGCUUAGCUAUCUCAAAUUUGGUAUUUAUGUACAAGGAAAAAUGAAUGUCAGUUUGGAGUUUUUCUCAUUUGAACAGCAUUAUCAUUACUUAAUGCUAAACUAUGUGUUGAUGUUAUUCACGUGCUUAACAAUGCAUGCUAAAUCAGUUUCUUUGAAUUUCA